UCGAGGUGCUGCCGCCGCCGCCCGACCCGCGCCUUCGCGCCACUUCGCGCCCUCGGGCGAGGCCGGGGGGGUGGGGACGGCCUCCGCCGCGCGGCCGAGCCUCGUGCCCCCUCGCCGAGCCCCUUCGCGGGGUGGGCCGGCCGGCCGGCCGCACCCCCGGCCUGGGGCCUCCGGUCGUAGUAAAGCGGGGGGCGGGUUGGGGAGGCGGGCGCCCGAGCCCACGGCGGGCGAGGCGAAGAUGGUGGCGGCGACUUCUCCCGUCAUUCAUACACGUGGACCUAACUGCACCAAGAGCUUUUCCUAAGGAUAGUUGCUGAACACGAAGUUUUCGCAAGUGGGCCAACAUGUCUAAGCAGAGCAAGCCAGACGUGGGUUUUUCCCUACACUUGGAAGAGUCCUACAGAAUGAUUCCUGACAAAAUGAAACCUGCAGCUGCCUGGAGAACAAUUCAUUGUCAAGUUAAAGCUUAUGUACUUAAUGAAAUAACUUGUUAGUAACUGACAAUCCUGGUGUGGUUUGUCUAGCAUUAAGAUAAGUUAGGAGUCUCUGGGCUGAGCAGUAAAGGUAAGGAGAGCUCUGUACAAGGCUAAUUUUUGGUGUAUGUCUGGAAAUACACAUAUAAUACCUACUUGAUACUUCACCUUCGAAGUGUGAAUUAAUGUAUUUGUUUUGAUAAGUUAAUAUUCUUUGUAGUCUUAGUGAUAACAUUAGUAAAAUGUAAUAUUUGUGAGUUUUAAAGGAUAACCAAGAUGGGUAUAUGCAAUCAAUUUUAGGACCAUAGAAAAUUUGUUUUAAAAGGCUUAGUUUUCCUAAUAAUUUGAACCACAGACACAUUGAGAUGCCUAUUUAUGUAUUUGCAAUUUAGUCAUGCUCUUUGGAUUGUUUAGUGCAUUUAAUGUAAAUAAAGUUAUGUAUUUUUAAAUGGCUUGUUGAGAAAUUG